AUCUAAAGUGGAAGCAGAUGCACGGUAAGUGCCACUGAUUCAUCCCUGCGGCAGGGGAUCGCAGGCACAGGAAACGGAGGUCUCCGCUCCCAGCGGUACGUACCAACCGUGCCCCCAAACUUCCCAUUGACUUCAAAGCACUCCCAUCAUCUUUCUGCCAUGUGAGAGUUUUGCUUUGAGUCUGGGGUUUACUACGGCCAGCAGCUGACUGCCAGGAGCCUGUGGCCCAAAACUGGCUGUGCUCAACACCCAGUGCUUGGGAAGAUGCAGGAAGUCCUUCCAGGAGGCAGUCAGGGAAUAACCCGUAUUAGCAGAAGGAUAAUCCCUCCUCGUUCCCAAUACUGAGAGCCGGUUUAAACCUAGAAGCCCAAUAGCUGAUACUCCUUCCAGCCUGUUUUGAGCUGAUGCAGUGUCUGUUUUUUGGCUUACCGGCAAUAUCCAGGAGCACUUAAAAACCCUAUGGAUGGACAAUGGGAUCAAGGAAUCCGAUUCACACCUGCCUGAGCAUGAGAUGGCAACGUACCUUGGAUAGGAAACCCAGUGCUUUGCCCGAGUGAGAGCCUCACCUGACGUAGUUGGACAAUUCACCUAUCUUUGAUGUCCUUGUUUUCACUAACUGUAGAGAAUGAAAAAAGAAAAAGAGGAAAAAAUAAACCAAGGAGAGGUAAAGGGUAAGGAGCAAUCUUGCAUGCACAGUUCCACUCCACCCAUCUAACACGGCCAGCGCUGGUGCCUGGCGGUGCUGCUGAGGUUGCUCCCCGUGGCAGCAGUACGAGGGGCCGAGCCAGGCUGGCCCCUCCGGCUGCGGCUGCUGUGCCCGCAGGUGGGUGCUCAGGGAAGCUGUGCUGUGGGGUCCCCAAGUACCGUCCCAAAUCUCCAGCUGGCUGAUGUCACAUCCCCAGGACAAGCUGGUCCCUGGGCUCCAGAGCUCUCCCUCACUGACCCAUGGAGGUGGGGCGAAAUGCGUUAGGCAGUGCUGGACACUUACUAGCAGUAUUUCUGUGGAUUCUUCUAUUUCGCCUUUCCAGAAAUACCUAGAUUUAAAAGGCAAAACAGUAGCAGCAAAUGUAGUUACAAAAUGCAACAUUGUACUUAACGUCAGCAUGCAUAGGUGCAUUUACAGAGGAGAGCCUUCUUGGCCAUGCCGGGAGUGAGGGACCUGCAGGGCUGGAAACAACUGGGACAAAGGCAAGGGGAGCUGCUGGGUGUCUGCAGAGACAGCGGCUUGGCAAAGCUGGGAGGCCGUGCCCAACGCCACUCUUUUUUCUCCCUUUCCCUGCAGUAAUGGACAUUUACUUCUUGUGAGUCAGCUCUGACCUUCUGAAACAUUCAUCUUGACAGAAGGCCAUCCUGAUUUCAUCUGUGUGCUGGCUGCCUUGCAUGAGGAGUCAUCUGGAGGCGUCACCGUGUCUACUGAGCAGGAGGCAGUCUGAGAGGUUUUUCCCUAUAGUCUGUGGCUGCAAACUCUGGUGGAGGGGAGGCCCUGAGGACGGCAGUGUGGCAGCACGCUGCUGAGGGGUGCCGCGCGAAGACCAUGCAGCAUUCACAUCACCCUGCCUCCUCCUGAAGGAGAAACCCUACAGCAGCAUAGAGCUGAGAAGAAACAGCUGGCCACCAUGGGAACUGGAAACAUUAUAAGAAGAUGAACACGGUCGGUGGAAAACAUCUGCAUAAUACAUGAUAUCUUUGGGCUGUGUGUUUAAUGUGUGUUUCUUUCUCCUUGCAUCACUAAACAAUAGCCUCUGAAUUGAGACAUGAAAUAUUAAUAAGCAGAAAAGCAGAGAAAAACAUAUGCAGAAAUACAAGGCAGAGCCAAAGGCUCAAGGACUCUUCAGGUGUUAAGUUUUGUGAGAUGCAAACGGUCACAGCACCCAGCCCAAAGGGCUCAACUUCUCAUAGCAAACACAAGGGAGAAACUAGAUCUCUAUGGACUAGAGGUUUCUCCUGAGGAUUUUAGAUUAAUAGUAAUCCAGAUAAAUUGGAUUAGAGCUGGCGCGAAUGAACAAGUCAGAUGCUGAAUUUUACCUGCAGCUAAUCAGCUUUCAAAAAGUCUGAACUCCUUUUUUUCACAGAGAAAUUCCUUGCAGUCUGAGCCUUGGAAACGAGUGCUCCACUGAGCAAAAUAAAGGAAUAAUAAACAUGAGAGCACUAAGGUGAGAGGGAAAAUAAAUGUAGAUGCCCUGUGUCAGCCGUUACAAUCCUUGUUCAUUCAUCCAAAUUCCUGAACAAAGGAUUAAUUAUUCCACCAGUAAAAUGCAACCAAAAUACAUACAUCCCAGGAUGGGUAUGGGGUGCAGGGAGUGAUCUAUUUCCUCACCCUUCACUGAAAGGAACAAAGAGUGGAAAACAUUUGCAAAGCUGUUAAGGUGAAGCAUUUUCAGGAACAAAAUGAUCUUUUCACCAGCAAUGUACAGUUAUUUCUUUUUUCAGAAGAUAUCAAGUUGUACAGAUAUUAUUCUACUGGAAUUUCUUAUUACAGUUGCAGUAUUUAAGAUGACACAAACCCCCUUUCAGUAGUCUGUCAGUUCCUGAAUGGAUAUUUGGGAACGCUCUGCUAUUGCAGAGGACGGAGAGUUUUUGGCAAGCGGUGGGAUAGCAUGGAAAACAGCUCACAGGAGGUGUUGCAGGAAACUUAAUGGUCCACCGUAAACAUUUCCUCAGUCAACACAGUUCCAGUACUUUGAACAAACCAUCUAUUCAGUCAGGGACCGAGGGAUCUGUGAAAAAAUGGCAUGCAAAACAGCAUGCAAAGCUGCUCAUAUACUCAAAAUAAAUAAAUAAGGGCAAAAGCCUCAUUCCCUGAAGUGUUUAGUGAGCUGAGUGCAAGCUUUCAGGUGGUAUCUCAUGACGGCCUGUUUUGGGUUUUCUGUGGACCACUUUUGUCCUUGCUUUAUUUUUAUGUUAGUGCCACUAUGCUUUGUUCCUCUCCAUAAACACCUCUCCUGGAGUUUAUCUGUGUUGCUCCGAGAAGAGCGACUAUGGCAGAUCAGAGAGCGUGGUGCUGGGGCUUAAUCCUUCUGAGGGCCAUGAGAUUUAGGGCCAUAGCUUUAAAAAUGGGUCUUGAAAAUGAAAGCCAGUGGAAAAAAUUGAGAAUUGGCUUGAUGUAUACUAUGGCAUUGACUUCGGAGUCAAUCGUUAUCAUUCCUGUAGAAAGCAGAGCUCUUGGUGUGUGGACAUGUGACAGAGAGAGAGAGAACAUAAGAGAAAAGGAGCCCCGUUUGGACAGAAGUGCAAAACCCCUGAACCAGCAGAGAAGUACCACUGCUCUACUGAUGACAAGGAAAGGCUUUAUUUAUUCCAUGAAAAGCUGCUUUGGAACAACUUGAGCAGACAAGCAGUGGAAGCGUCACUGUACCUUGCAAUAUCCUUGGCAAUUUCCUCGUUGAGACAAUUGAUGAAGGCGAUGGAAUGGGUCCCAGAGAUGUAGCUGCCAGUGACAGCAGAGUGCAGCUGAAGAGCCAGACUUUUUAGCAUGGGGUACAUCAGUAAAGACAGAGCCAUCGCCUAAAAUGCAAAAUAUACGAGUGCUGAUGUUAGGUAAAAUGUUGCAUUUUGUAAAAAUAAGCAUUUGCUUUAUCUAUGACUCAAGAGAAGUCUCCAUUCCUCUUUCUUUCGACAUUACUGUAAUGCUAGUUGUAAUUUAAGUGAAAACAUGCUCAUAGAGGCAUUCAUUCUCCUGAAACGGGGCCAAUCUAAUACCAUGCCAAAUGCUCAGGGCAGGAAAGGGUCAGUUUUAGAGCCUUUACCAGCUCGCAGGAGUCCAGGCCUCUGCUCCAGGAGGUCAUAGUAGAAAUUAAUGGUGCGUAUACACCUCACUGCACAGCCCUAGCAGCCACAACUGUUUUUCCAAAAUAAGAAUAAGGAGGUAAGUCAGUGGUUGCCUCCAUUAAAAAAGGCAAUAAUAAGCUUCAGGAAUCUAUACAUUAUUUUGUAUUUGCUCCCACAGCUUACAUCUGUAUAAACAGUCCUUGUUAAAGGCAAGGGUUGAAUAAAGCUAUAAGGCUGAGAACUUAAUAAAAAACAAGAUAUUAAUGCAA